rnacentral:tRNA from 1 species
GUGUCCGUAGCUCAGCUGGAUAGAGUGUCGGCCUCCGGAGCCGAAGGUCCCGGGUUCGAAUCCCGGCGGGCACGCCA